rnacentral:rRNA from 1 species
GAUGAACGCUCGCGGGAGGCCUAACACAUGCAAGCCGAGCGGUAUUUGUUCUUCGGAACAGAGAGAGCGGCGCACGGGUGCGGAACACGUGUGCAACCUGCCUUCAUCUGGGGGAUAGCCUUUCGAAAGGAAGAUUAAUACCCCAUAAUAUAUUGAGUGGCAUCCCUUGAUAUUGAGAACUCCGGUGGAUAGAGAUGGGCACGCGCAAGAUUAGAUAGUUGGUGAGGUAACGGCUCACCAAGUCAAUGAUCUUUAGGGGGCCUGAGAGGGUGAUCCCCCACACUGGUACUGAGACACGGACCACACUCCUACGGGAGGCAGCAGUGAGGAAUAUUGGACAAUGGGUUAGCGCCUGAUCCAGCCAUCCCGCGUGAAGGACGACGGCCCUAUGGGUUGUAAACUUCUUUUGGAUAGGGAUAAACCUACUCUCGGGAGAGUAGCUGAAGGUACUAUACGAAUAAGCACCGGCUAACUCCGUG